rnacentral:rRNA from 1 species
UACGAAGGGGGCUAGCGUUGCUCGGAAUCACUGGGCGUAAAACGCACGUAGGCGGACUCUUAAGUCGGUGGUGAAAUCCUGGAGCUCAACUCCAGAACUGCCUUCGAUACUGAGAGUCUCGAGUCCGGGAGAGGUGAGUGGAACUGCGAGUGUAGAGGUGAAAUCGUAGAUAUUCGCAAGAACACCAGUGGCGAAGGCGGCUCACUGGCCCGGUACUGACGCUGAGGUGCGAAAGCGUGGGGAGCAAACAGG